rnacentral:rRNA from 1 species
UACAGAGGUGGCGAGCGUUGUUCGGAUUUACUGGGCGUAAAGGGUGCGUAGGUGGUUUUGUGUGUCGGAUGUGAAAUCUCACUGCUCAACGGUGAAAUGGCAUUCGAAACUGCAGAACUUGAGUGCAGGAGAGGAGAGCGGAAUUCUUGGUGUAGCGGUGGAAUGCGUUGAGAUCAAGAAGAACACCGGUGGCGUAGGCGGCUCUCUGGUAUGCAACUGACACUGAGGCACGAAAGUUGGGGGAGCAAACAGG